UACGUAGGGUGCGAGCGUUAAUCGGAAUUACUGGGCGUAAAGCGUGCGCAGGCGGUUUUGUAAGGCAGAUGUGAAAUCCCCGGGCUUAACCUGGGAAUGGCAUUUGGGACUGCAAGGCUGGAGUGCGGCAGAGGAGACUGGAAUUCCUGGUGUAGCGGUGAAAUGCGCAGAUAUCAGGAGGAACACCAACGGCGAAGGCAGCACUCUGGGCCGGUACUGACGCUGAGGAGCGAAAGCGUGGGGAGCAAACAGG
rnacentral:rRNA from 1 species